GGAGGAGGCUGCACCGCUCCUCAACAGGAAAAAGCAAACGUAGAAAUAGCUAAAACGGAGCUGGAUGGAUCGCCAAACGAGACCAAAAUUGCAUUUCGCGGGUGUUACGAUUUUCAGACAAAACUAAAUGUACACUUAUUUGUGGACGAAGGAAAUACUCAUGAAGCUGCUACCUCCACGGACCACAAAAGAAGAAGGUAGUCGGAGGCAAAAAUCCACAAUUGUUCUACCAUCGAAUUCCAGAUGCAAUUGUACCCUGAACUGCUAUCAGCAUCAGGUGAUGUUGCGACCGGUCGGUUUGGUACUGCUUUCGGAUACGACGUCGCCAGAGACUGUAUUAUGCUAAUCUCACUGUAAUGUUCUAUUCGCGAUCGGAGGGAGUAGUGAAUUUGAUAUUUACAACAAUCUUGGUUCUCUUAAAUGUACUCUCGUGGUAGAAGAAAUCAUAGACCAAACACACGACGUGUUGGCUACUACAUCCUUGGAUUACAAAUGGGAGCACGACAUCUCUUAUUUAUUUGACCAGCUGGGCAUUGCAAUGUUAGUUAUUAAGAGAAAAAUUAUGAUUAUCUCAAACUGAAGAAUCAUAACAUAUGAGACGAUCACUCAAGUACCAAUAAAUGUUCACAUUGUUGACAAGGUAGAAGAGGAGCAAUUAGCAACGAUAAUAACAUUGUAUUGGAAUAGAUCCAUUGUCACGGAAAGAAUUUAUUCUUCAGGCAUUGAAAGUAAAA